UCUGAUUCAGGGUGGUGUGUUUUGAAAUACUGGCAGGAUUUGUACGCUACUAGGUAAAAUCAGGAAACAACAACAACAACAACAACAACAAAGGGCUUGGACAACAACGAACAGAGAAAAAGAGAGACCUGGCCUGAGCUACGCAGGGCUUCUCCCAGGACAUGGCAGCUAGUCACGGUGCACGGAGCCCUCCCAUCCACCCUGGAAACCUGCAACGCCCCUGCCUUCCUCCGAGCAACCCCCCUCAAGCUGUUCUUCCUUCGGGAAUCACAGACAAGGACCUGCUCUGCACCCCCUCCCUCACCAUCCUAAAGAAAGAAACGGACUGACCGUUGGAGGAAAGGAAGACGAUACCCACAGAGCAUUACUCGCAGGUGACCCCUUCGCCUUCCUUUCGGGAUGUGUUGUUGGAGGCACACCUCGGCUGCACGGGACCCUCGUCCUCCACCCGCGCCCCACCCCCACGGCCACCCCGGAUGCACGCCGCCCGCACACCCGCCAGCUCCCAGCUGUGAAAUAUUUCCAGGUGUUUCCCACUUUUCAUUAAGUAAUGCCAAAACGAGCAUCUGUGCAGAAAGCAUUUUCUGUAAUUAGAUUUAUGUCCUUGGGACAGAAUCCCAGAAGUGAA